rnacentral:rRNA from 1 species
GAUGAACGCUGGCGGCGUGCCUAAUACAUGCAAGUCGAGCGAACAGACGAGGAGCUUGCUCCUCUGACGUUAGCGGCGGACGGGUGAGUAACACGUGGAUAAACUACCUAUAAGACUGGGAUAACUUCGGGAAACCGGAGCUAAUACCGGAUAAUAUAUUGAACCGCAUGGUUCAAUAGUGAAAGACGGUUUUGCUGUCGCUUAUAGAUGGAUCCGCGCUGCAUUAGCUAGUUGGUAAGGUAACGGCUUACCAAGGCAGCGAUGCGUAGCCGACCUGAGAGGGUGAUCCGCCACCCGGGAACUGAGACACGGUCCAGACUCCUACGGUGGGCAGCAGUAGGGAAUCUUCCGCAAUGGACGAAAGCCGGACGGAGCAACGCCGCGUGAGUGAUGAAGGUCUUCUGAUCGUAAAACUCUGUUAGUAGGGAAGAACAAAUGUGUAAGUACCUAGGCACAUCUUGACGGUACCUAAUCAGAAAGCUACGGCUAACUCCGUG